GCCGACACAGGUGCUGCUUGUGGAUGGGAAUGAGAUAAAUGGGAGGCAGAGGGAAGGGGAAGGAGUCAGACAAGGCCUCUCGGUCGGAGAAAGCUACGGCCUCUGGGUCUCCUUGUGUCGUCCUCUCACCGAGGGGGUCCCUUCUGGGCCGGAUCCCCAGCAGCCACUGUCAGGUCACCGGCCACAAUCCCACAGAAGUGGAGACAGCAUGGAGCUGAUUCCAGUCCCUGCCGCACUUGCUGCCCAUCCAGAAGAGCAAAUCUCCAGAGAAAUAAAUACAAGAGCUGUAGUCAGGCGUUCCUGAGCACAGUCCAGCUCCCCAUCUACCAACUGGAUCCGACGGUUCAAGGAAGCCACCUCAGCCUCAGCCUGUUCCAGGGCCCGUUUCUCCCCCUCCACCUCCUGCUGGAGACGCUCGGCCCUCUCCAAGGUGUCAUUGGCCUGCUGCUGCAGAACCUGAAUCUUGCGCUUCACCUCCUCGAUGGUGGUGAUACCAGCCAUGGUGCCCACCCCGUUCUGGCUCCCACUCCGACUGCUACCUCCUCUGUUCGGUGCUGCUGCUGCUUCUCAACCUGA
rnacentral:lncRNA from 1 species